AUGCUGGAGGUAUCAGAAGUGCGAAUGCUGACAUAAGUAACGAUAAAGCGGGUGAAAAGCCCGCUCGCCGGAAGACCAAGGGUUCCUGUCCAACGUUAAUCGGGGCAGGGUGAGUCGACCCCUAAGGCGAGGCCGAAAGGCGUAGUCGAUGGGAAACAGGUUAAUAUUCCUGUACUUGGUGUUACUGCGAAGGGGGGACGGAGAAGGCUAUGUUGGCCGGGCGACGGUUGUCCCGGUUUAAGCGUGUAGGCUGGUUUUCCAGGCAAAUCCGGAAAAUCAAGGCUGAGGCGUGAUGACGAGGCACUACGGUGCUGAAGCAACAAAUGCCCUGCUUCCAGGAAAAGCCUCUAAGCAUCAGGUAACAUCAAAUCGUACCCCAAACCGACACAGGUGGUCAGGUAGAGAAUACCAAGGCGCUUGAGAGAACUCGGGUGAAGGAACUAGGCAAAAUGGUGCCGUAACUUCGGGAGAAGGCACGCUGAUACGUAGGUGAAGCGACUUGCUCGUGGAGCUGAAAUCAGUCGAAGAUACCAGCUGGCUGCAACUGUUUAUUAAAAACACAGCACUGUGCAAACACGAAAGUGGACGUAUACGGUGUGACGCCUGCCCGGUGCCGGAAGGUUAAUUGAUGGGGUUAGCGGUAACGCGAAGCUCUUGAUCGAAGCCCCGGUAAACGGCGGCCGUAACUAUAACGGUCCUAAGGUAGCGAAAUUCCUUGUCGGGUAAGUUCCGACCUGCACGAAUGGCGUAAUGAUGGCCAGGCUGUCUCCACCCGAGACUCAGUGAAAUUGAACUCGCUGUGAAGAUGCAGUGUACCCGCGGCAAGACGGAAAGACCCCGUGAACCUUUACUAUAGCUUGACACUGAACAUUGAGCCUUGAUGUGUAGGAUAGGUGGGAGGCUUUGAAGUGUGGACGCCAGUCUGCAUGGAGCCGACCUUGAAAUACCACCCUUUAAUGUUUGAUGUUCUAACGUUGGCCCCUGAUCGGGGUUGCGGACAGUGUCUGGUGGGUAGUUUGACUGGGGCGGUCUCCUCCUAAAGAGUAACGGAGGAGCACGAAGGUUGGCUAAUCCUGGUCGGACAUCAGGAGGUUAGUGCAAUGGCAUAAGCCAGCUUGACUGCGAGCGUGACGGCGCGAGCAGGUGCGAAAGCAGGUCAUAGUGAUCCGGUGGUUCUGAAUGGAAGGGCCAUCGCUCAACGGAUAAAAGGUACUCCGGGGAUAACAGGCUGAUACCGCCCAAGAGUUCAUAUCGACGGCGGUGUUUGGCACCUCGAUGUCGGCUCAUCACAUCCUGGGGCUGAAGUAGGUCCCAAGGGUAUGGCUGUUCGCCAUUUAAAGUGGUACGCGAGCUGGGUUUAGAACGUCGUGAGACAGUUCGGUCCCUAUCUGCCGUGGGCGCUGGAGAACUGAGGGGGGCUGCUCCUAGUACGAGAGGACCGGAGUGGACGCAUCACUGGUGUUCGGGUUGUCAUGCCAAUGGCACUGCCCGGUAGCUAAAUGCGGAAGAGAUAAGUGCUGAAAGCAUCUAAGCACGAAACUUGCCCCGAGAUGAGUUCUCCCUGACUCCUUGAGAGUCCUGAAGGAACGUUGAAGACGACGACGUUGAUAGGCCGGGUGUGUAAGCGCAGCGAUGCGUUGAGCUAACCGGUACUAAUGAACCGUGAGGCUUAACCUU
rnacentral:rRNA from 1 species